UUGACAGGCCUGAAGAGCAAAGUCUUUUAUUUAUGCAUGAACAGCAACAGUUCUGCCUUUCCCACACUGCCCUCCUGAUAUGCUUCACCCAUGACCUGUAGGAUCCCCCUUGGGGGUGACAGCUUAGUAGCCUUCAUACCUAUUCACUUCUCCAGUCCU
rnacentral:sRNA from 14 species